GGCGGACGGGUGAGUAUCGCGUGGGAACGUGCCCUUCUCUACGGAAUAGUCCUGGGAAACUGGGGGUAAUACCGUAUACGCCCUUUGGGGGAAAGAUUUAUCGGAGAAGGAUCGGCCCGCGUUGGAUUAGGUAGUUGGUGGGGUAAUGGCUCACCAAGCCGACGAUCCAUAGCUGGUUUGAGAGGAUGAUCAGCCACACUGGGACUGAGACACGGCCCAGACUCC
rnacentral:rRNA from 1 species